UGGCUCAGCGGUUAAGAGCACUGACUGCUCCUCCAGAGGUCCUGGGUUCAAAUCCCAG
rnacentral:tRNA from 1 species